GACGAGCCACACAAACGUUAUUCGGAAUUACUGGGCGUAAAGCGCGCGUAGGCGGCUUUGCAAGUCGGGUGUGAAAUCCCCAGGCCUAACCUGGGAACUGCAUUCGAGACUGCAUGGCUAGAGUAUCGGAGAGGGAAGUGGAAUUUCAGGUGUAGCGGUGAAAUGCGUAGAUAUCUGAAGGAACAUCAGUGGCGAAAGCGACUUCCUGGACGAAUACUGACGCUCAUGUGCGAAAGCGUGGGGAGCAAACAGG
rnacentral:rRNA from 1 species